CCGCAGGCAUCCGCACCGCCGCCGCUGCUGGUGGCACCGCCGUGGCCUGACACACCCUCCACUUGUGCUGGAGGUAGCUGCACGGCCUCUACUACAGGAAGCUGCACCAUCGUCAUUCCGCUUCCGCCCCCUGUGCCCCAUCUACCCCUAGCUGAUGGGCGACUUGUCCGCAGAAACGAAGAGGAGCACCUCCGCUGGUGGCUCCCUGUCCAUGCCCAUUGGCAUCAGAGCCGCCGCCUGCGUCUGGUCCAUUGGGACGGAGGAACUGGAGCUCUAGAUAUUUCCGGGAGCCACCUCUCCUGGUUGAAUGCCAGAUGCAAGAUGAAGGGAAGAAGGGCAAGGCCGUGAAGGACCCCAACAAGCCCAAGAGGGCGCCCAACGUCUUCUUCGUCUUCAUGGUGUCCGUUGUUCUGAACCUGGUGUUCGUUGGUUGGUUUCUGCCAGGGGUGAGUGCUGCAAGGAGUUCAAAUAGAAGAACCCCAAGAACAAGUUCAUAGCGGCUGUUGGCAAAGCAACUGAUGAGAGGUGGAAGAGCUUGAGUGAAUAGGAAAAGGCUCCCUAUGUGGUAGAGAUAUGCAAACCCCUAUGAUUGAAGCUUGUUGUCUUGUGUUCAAAUGGGAAGCCACCUAUGUCCUCGCCGCAUUGUCUCGCCCUCGUGGACGGUGCUCCUACACCUGGUGGAUGUGUGACGCACGCCCGUGACGGCCAAACACUGACACGACAGUGGCUCACUCCGGUGGUUUCCUAGACGGCAGUGGAUGGCUCCCCCGCAACCGCGGUGGCAGUCGUGCAUGACAUCUACUUCAAAAAUCCCAUGUGGACACAUGAAGAAGGGAUGGAGCUUCAGCGAUGACUCGUCACACGGAGCUACAGGCAACCUGAUGUGUUGCUUUCAUCCCCUCGACACAACGAGUAGUUCUGCUUCGUCUCCUUUCCAGUAGUAUAGCUGCAACUUAGCAUGUGUGUAGAGGCUAAUGGUCGCAAGGGCUCCUAGAGUGUACAUGACUUGAAGAUGCCCGGCUAGAUGUGAUACUUUGUGAUCUCAUAUACGUACUCUAUGAUAUAUAUGGAUCUUUGCUAUGUA